rnacentral:rRNA from 1 species
UACGUAGGUGACCAGCGUUGUCCGGAUUUACUGGGCGUAAAGAGCGCGCAGGCGGUCGUUCAAGUCGAGUGUGAAAUCCCCCGGCUCAACUGGGGAGGGUCAUUCGAUACUGAUCGACUCGAAGGCAGGAGAGGGAAGUGGAAUUCCCGGUGUAGUGGUGAAAUGCGUAGAUAUCGGGAGGAACACCAGUGGCGAAGGCGGCGACCUGGGCCAAUAUUGACGCUGAGGUGCGAAAGCGUGGGGAGCAAACAGG